rnacentral:rRNA from 1 species
GGGGAAUUUUCCGCAAUGGGCGCAAGCCUGACGGAGCAAUACCGCGUGAGGGAGGAAGGCUUUUGGGUUGUAAACCUCUUUUCUCAAGGAAGAACAAAAUGACGGUACUUGAGGAAUCAGCAUCGGCUAACUCCGUGCCAGCAGCCGCGGUAAUACGGAGGAUGCAAGCGUUAUCCGGAAUUAUUGGGCGUAAAGCGUCCGCAGGUGGUUAUUCAAGUCUGCUGUCAAAGACCACAGCUUAACUGUGGGCAGGCAGUGGAAACUGGGUAACUAGAGUACGGUAGGGGUAGAGGGAAUUCCCAGUGUAGCGGUGAAAUGCGUAGAGAUUGGGAAGAACACCGGUGGCGAAAGCGCUCUACUGGGCCAUAACUGACACUGAGGGACGAAAGCUAGGGUAGCGAAAGGGAUUAGAUACCCCUGUAGUCA